UACGCAGGGGGCUAGCGUUGUUCGGAUUUACUGGGCGUAAAGCGCGUGUAGGCGGACUGUUAAGUUGGGGGUGAAAUCCCGAGGCUCAACCUCGGAACUGCCUUCAAAACUGGCGGUCUAGAGUGAAGGAGAGGCGAGUGGAAUUCCGAGUGGAGAGGUGAAAUUCGUAGAUAUUCGGAGGAACACCAGUGGCGAAGGCGGCUCGCGGGCCUUUUAAUGACGCUGAGACGCGAAAGCGUGGGGAGCAAACAGG
rnacentral:rRNA from 1 species